AUUUUUUUAUUAUUAUAAUUGGUAAUGGGUGUCAUCAGGUGGUGGAAAUACAUUUAGAAUUACAUUUAAUCCAAAAAAAUAAAUAUAACCUUGUAAAUUGAUUCCAUAAUCACCAGAAAUCUGAUAUAAUGGCAACAUAGAGAGAGAAUAUUAGUGAUCCAAUUAUACACACCUGAGGAACUCAACAGGGUCACUUCAUCAAGUAGCAUCAAAGCUCCACAGUAACUCAGUUCCUGUUUAGCAUUUAUGCAAAUCUCCUUUUUUUCUGGUAAUAUUAGCAUCAUAUGUACCUGGACACAAGCACUUUCUGAUCACACUUGCUGUAACAUCAUGUGGACUUCAGCUGCUCUGCUGCUGCUCGCUGUGGCUUCCUAUGUGUCCUGUGCUACUGAGCUCAUCCAGCCAGACUCAGUGGUUGUAAAGUCUGGUGAGACUUUAACCAUCAACUGUAGAGUUUCAGGAGCUUCAAUUACUGACAGCAGCCAUUAUGGAACAGCUUGGAUUCGACAGCCUGCAGGAAAAGCUCUGGAAUGGAUCAACACAAUUUAUUAUAAUGGAAAUAUUAAUGAAAAAGAUUCACUUAAAAACAAGUUUGUUGUUUCUCGAGACACGUCCAGUAACACGGUGACCCUACAGGGACAGAAGAUGCAGAAUGAAGAUACAGCUGUGUAUUACUGCGCCAGAGAACCACACUGGUGUCCACAUACUUUUGACCAUGUAAACCUCCUCCUCCUUAUAUCUGAAACUGCUUCACCUCCCACCAUCAGCGGAUAAG